rnacentral:rRNA from 1 species
CCUACGGGAGGCAGCAGUGAGGAAUAUUGGUCAAUGGGCGUGAGCCUGAACCAGCCAAGUCGCGUGAGGGAUGACGGCUCUAUGGGUUGUAAACUUCUUUUAUAAGGGAAUAAAGUGCGGGACGUGUGCCGUUUUGUAUGUACCUUAUGAAUAAGGAUCGGCUAACUCCGUGCCAGCAGCCGCGGUAAUACGGAGGAUCCGAGCGUUAUCCGGAUUUAUUGGGUUUAAAGGGAGCGUAGGCGGCGUGUUAAGUCAGUUGUGAAAGUCUGUGGCUCAACCAUAAAAUUGCAGUUGAAACUGGGAGGCUUGAGUAUAUUUGAGGCAGGCGGAAUGCGUGGUGUAGCGGUGAAAUGCUUAGAUAUCACGCAGAACCCCGAUUGCGAAGGCAGCCUACCAAGCUAUGACUGACGCUGAUGCACGAAAGCGUGGGGAUCAAACAGGAUUAGAUACCCCAGUAGUC